GACCAGCCCAUAAAACAUCGCGGAGCAGCGCUGCGACUGCAUGCUGUAGAAAGAAGACGGUAGAUAUACUCAGGGGUUGAGUGGAGGGGCCGCUGAUUACCGACAACUUGUCAGACCACCCCAAUAGUCCAACUCGUUUGCACUGGCUUAACCAUCUUGACCAGCUUUCUGGAGACCAGGCAUUUCCCAGAGUUGCUCAUGGCCUGAUCAACCAUGACGCAAGGGAAGCACUGGGAUGUGACAGAUAGUUGGGUGGAUGACAGUUGGUGCAGAGUUGGCAUGGGGUGGAAUGGCAUUGCGACUGCAGGCGGGAGAAUGAAGGACGACAAAGCCCCUGAGACCACUGUCUGAAUAUUCUAAGGAAGGAAACGUUCUACUUCGUGGAGCUUGAGACUGGAAUGAGAAGUGUUGAAGAAGAGGGUCGAAUGGAGGUCUGAGGACUAAGAGGGAAGCCUUGUGUCAUUGGAUGAAAGAUGUCUGUGGUCCUACGGAAGCUGAGGUGGAGGCUCGUGGACAAAGGAUCAGG